UUGGCUAGUAAACUAAUAAAAAAAAUAAUUUUAUAUUCUUAGGAAAUUAAUAGAAUUUUCACAGAGCUUAAAGAACAAUUCAGUUCCCUAGUCUGAUCUUCUAGGCUAUUAAGUUUCACCUAGUCAUGCUAGUAGAGAUCCCAGAGACUUGCGUUUGAUUAUUUCGCAGGGCACUAAGAUGUGCCUGCUCCUUUAAGGGCAGAAGCAGCCUGGCCAGGGAGGCCUGCAGGCUAGGCAGAGCUCCAUGGUUGUAGGUUGUCCGGGCAACAGGCUAAUGGGUAAUUAGCUGGCAUCUGCAGGUGAUCAGAUGACUGGAAAGCACUAGGGCCCUGGGAACAUAUAAGCUCAGGGCUGGGGCUAGGAGAGCUCACUCUCUCUGGAGACUGCCAGGGGAAGGAGCCCCUGCCUAAGAGAGCUGCUCAGAGGCAUUUGGUUGCCUGCUCUGCUGCCUACACGGACAGUAAGGCUCCAAGAACCUGCAGGGUGCCCAGGCUAGGAACCCUGCUGUCCUAGGGGUGGAAGUUUGCCUUAAAAGAGCAAAGCACAGUUUUAAUUGCUUUUGAUACAUUAUAGCCCAGGGGCUUAUGUUUGUGUUGUUGUACUGAAGGUUUGGGAGGAAGCUGUAAGUAGAGGUUCAGAGGCCUGAUUAGUGCAUAGAAGGGCGCAGCAGAGACAAGGGCUGGAGGGCCCAGUGAAAGAAAGAGAUCAAUUGAAGCUAGUGCCUUGGCUUAGUAGGCUGAGGCACCAAUAGAGGGAAUAAGAUCCAUGUAACAACCAUGAGGCAUGGUUAAGGGAAGGUUUGGAGCCACGCAACCAGCCCAUAAGGCUUGAGGUGCCCCGUACAGUACAGUACUGAAGAGAGGUCCGGCAAAGGGAUCAGGACCAGUGAGCUGGUGAAGUUCAGCAGACCAGGGCCAUGCAAAGGACCAUGGACAGCCUCCCAAUUGAUCUUACCAGCAAGACAUGGCAAGUGAGACAAGAGGGCACCCUCAGGGUGGAGCUGGCAGUCAUGGAGCUGCCAGAGGCAUCAUGGCCACCCACGGGGACACCGCCCUGUGACAGACUAAAGCAGUCUUAAUUUAAAACUUGCAAGAUGGAAAAUUGACUGUUUCCCUUUGGUUGGUUGUUAAAUAUGUGUGCAUAUUUUGUUAUGCAAGGAAUAAAUGCUACAUUUGUGUGAAAAGGGCACACACUUCCUCAUGUACAACAAUGUUGAAUACGUGAUUUAUAAGAACUCAGAAUUCAGCUUUUUCUAUGGAGCCAUCACUGGCACCUCUAUAUAAAGGUGUGAUGUGCUGAAUUUUUCCGGUGUCCAGUGAUGUCUGUUACAUCAGGACUCAGGCUACAUAUCCAUCUCCUCUAGUGGUUACUGUUGCAUUUUUUUUCAUUUAAAAAAGAGCAAAUAAAACGUUCCUGACCAAAGCCUGUGACAGAACUAAACCAAGCAGCAGUAACACACACAAAUGGAGAUAUCUAGAAUGGGGGCCAGGGAAGCUGACCUGCAUUACUUUGUAAGAAAAGAUGAUUGAUCUGCCUCUUACAGAUAGCUGUCAAUAAAGCUAUCACACGAUAACCCCUGAAGCUCAAUGACUUUUGAUCAUACAGCUGCUUUUUCACAGAGCAAUUUCUUCUGCAGACAUCUCUCCAAAUGAUGAGGCAGAUUGUCCAACUUGGAACCAUGAUUUUCUUUUUUUAUCAGUAAGUGGGAGGCCCUGUGUUUCUUCCUUCAGCAGGCUGCUGCCGCUGCCACUGAUGCAUUCUGGAUUCUUUGAAGACACAGAGGUUUAGCAUCUACUUCAGUGUUGUUCUUCCUGUAGGCCUGACUCACACAGUGAUUUUGUCAUGCCACUUUGAUGUGGAUAAUAUAAAAGCUAGAUUACUAGAGCUGCACACUGGAGGGCUGUCUUCUGUGAAGCUUCCAUGCAAGUUAUAGAGGAGAGAUAAUGAUCUGAAAGAAAGGGGAUGGGGGAACUGGCAACAGAGAUACAUACGUGUGAUGUGCAAUUCCUCAGCAGAAAAGAUGGCUGCAAGGUUUGGUUAAGCAACUUCAUCCAAGUAGUUUUACAAAAGGUCAAAGGCUUCUCGGUAAGCAGUUUUGUCUCCUUUUUUUCUUCAGCACUUACACAAACAACAUGCAUUUAAAAAUAGGUUAAACUUGCAAAUAAAUAUCUAACCAUCAGACAAAUGUAACACGUGGCAGUAGGGGAAGGAGAUAACUGCAAGCUGCAGAAUUGGUUGAGGAUAUGAACUGAUGAUCAACGUCAGGCUGAAUCUGAGAACCAAGAAUAACCACUUCACCAGAGACCACCUUUUACUACCUCUCUUUGAAAAUGGCUAGAUUUUUCUGGAAUCUAGCAAUUAAACUCCAAAAUCCAGCAAAAAAAAUUACAGAUCCCUGAAAUCCCCAAUGUCCCUGUGUUGUUCCUUCUUACUUUAAAACACAAACUACAAACUUUACAACUCUUCAAAAUCUUGUCUUGCUUGCUGAAGUGUAUUAAGGAAAUAUAUGGGGAUAAAGGAUGCUUUCAUUCCAAUACAUUCCUUCUUCUGUAUAACCUGAUUUAUUGCACAAUGCAUCCAUUAUUUUUAUUUUGAAAAUGUGUUCAGUAUUUCAUUUUGUGAGAUAAAUAUUCAGUUGACUACCAUGAAAGUAUUGUAUGAAGGAUCAAGGUAUGAUAAAGAAACUUUUCAAAGGGUCCCUCAGUUGGAUUUUCACUGAACUUUGUGGACGGUGCCUAAUGCAAGGCUGGGGAGGGGCCAGGAGGAGACUGUGCUGAGCAGCCAUUCCAAGAGAUACAAACUGAGUUCAGAGGGUUGCAGGCUGUUUCUGGAAGUGCAGCACUCUAUAUAGAGCUGAAUUACUAAAGCUAAGGGAAGAUGUCAAUAUAAAAGUGCAGUGACAUCUCAGCGAUACAGAACCAUACAACUGGGUAAGCUCUUAUGGACUACAAAGAUUUGAAACAAGGUUGAUUAUGAUUCCUUAUUCUCAACUCCUCCUUCAAAGGCUUCAUAGGGUUUUCCAGCAAAUCUCCGGUGGAUGAAGGAUUUCUGUAUACUGAAGUUCACUGGUCCCCAAGCAGAGCUGUACCAGGCAAUCCUGGGGAUCCAGAAGUCUUGUCUGAACCUCUGUUCCCCAGGUGUGAGCUUGGAGAACAUCUACAAUCUCAUUCUGAGCCUGACUGGGUAGAAGCUGAGAGAGCUGGCAGUGCUAAAGAGAAGCAUCGCUGAGAACCACUUCUUCAAGACUUUUACAUCCCAGGGAAUGACCUGGCUGCUCCAGAGAGGUUCUAUGGAAUUGGUAUAUGGAUUAAGGAUGAUGUUGUGAUGACAGAGAACAUGCCACUGAUCCUUUUCAUAGACUGCCCUAAGGAGCUCUACCAUAUUAAGCACAUAUAUAGUCACAGCUCAUUACUUCUCUCUUCUGCCUCUUCCACCUUCCUCUAGUUUCUCAGGAAUCCUGCUCCUGUGCACCCUGACAGAGAUGCAUUUAUUUGUAAAUGGAUAUAGUUCUUGGGCAGUGAGGGUUGGGUCGGGCUGUUGAUCCUUUACGGACUCUGGAUUUAGGAGCAAGAGUUGAAGUAUAACAACAUGACUAUCAAAAAAUAAAGAAACUGUGAGUUCUGUAUUUAAUGUUUGUUCCAGUUAGUGCUGACAUGAAUAUCAGGAAUUUUGAAAGUGGAUUCUCUGCCUGUUCACAUGGCUUCUUGUGUCUGCUGUAGUUCACACGGUAUAAUGAUCUUGCUUAGUAUAGUUAGUGACCUGCUUCCUCCUCCCCUCUUGCAGCUAAAAUGCAGAAACUGAUAAUCAGGUUCCACACAGAUUUUUUGUUAGGGCCCCACAUAAAUCCAAUCUAUCCCAAAUGUUCAGAGGGUUAGAAAGGACAUUUUUGUGGGGUAGUUGUUCAAGCAUGUGAUGAUUUUGGUAGCUGCACAGCAGGAGACUGUUUGGCAAGCAGGGAACUGUUCGUCAUUUUGGAGUGUUGGAAUGAUCUUGGGGCCUUGUUUUCAGGUGGCCUAGGAGCAUAUGGCAAUUGGGAAUAGGGGGUCAUCUUGCCUAAAGAAGAGGGAAGCAAUUAAGAGCAGGGAUGAAUGAAGUUUGGAGCUCUUUUCAUGGUGGUUUGGAUUACCCAGUAUUUCUGUCUGUGCUCCCCCCCCACCCCCUUUCUCAGCCUUGCAGUUUACUUUCCUUUCCCUUGUUUCCCUAGUGAUUUGAAAAAUGAUCCAAUCUUAAAAGCAUCACUGGUGCCUUAGGACUAAAAUGUUUUAUUUCUUUUGGGGCUGAGGCUUUUCAAAGCAAAACUGCAGGUCUUCUUUCUGCAGCAGCUAGUGGUAUCUCCAGUUCUGAGCAGGGGGGCUGGACUCCUUUCUAGAAGAAAGAAAUUAGAUGGAGCUUCAAGAACUGACUAAUCUUUUUAAGUAAGCCACAACAGAUCUACUGACUCUGAUGUCUUUACGAAGUGAAGGAUAGUUAGGACAAAACCUGCCAUUUUAAUCAAAAGAGUUCCAAAGUGUAACUCCAUAUACUAGGGUCUAUGUAUGUAUGCACAGAAGUUUAUACCUAAAUAAAUAAGGAUGCAUCUACAGAUUCUACUCAGCACUUAAAGGAAUGGACACGAGUGUUUCAGUAUCGCAGUGCAGCAAUGCUUUUUAAUAACAAUAUAUUUUUUUAAUACCCUUUAGUAUAGUGUGGCUUCAUUAAAGAUUUUUUUACUGCUGCUUCCCUUCGUUCCCUGCCAGACAGUGCAUCAUAAACCCAGACAUACGGGUCUGCAGAUUGCACGGCUUUUACCCAUCAGCUGUCAUCCCCUUGCAGUGACGUCAGCAGGGUUGGGUGGUCUAUAAUUUACAUGGUAAUAGUAACUUAAAGGGAAAAUAGUCAAUAUUCUUCCUAUGUGUGUGCCCUGCUAUGUGUUUUCCUAAUUGUUCAGAAAUCUUAUUGACUAUAUAGAGAUUCAUUAUUUUAAAGGGACAUUACCAACUAGAUUUAGGUUUCAAAUUUAGGUGUUGUAAAAAGAAGGGUUUUGUGUAAAUAAAUACAAAUGAAACUAUUUUCCUAUUUUGGAUGGGUGGGGAAAUAAAUAUCUAGAGGUGCACUGAUAUAUCGGUUGCAUAUCAGAUUGUCACUGAUAAAAGAAAAUUAACAUUAUUGGGUAUUGGCUGUUUUUGGCUGGUGUAGCCGAUAAUGCCUUCUGGUGGGGGCCCCUGGAUGCUGCGUACAUGCGCACAGCCACACACAUGCAUGCAGCCAGGAAUGCAGCCAGGCAGCAUGGAGAGCAGCUCCCUGCAGGUAAGUCUUAGAGGGGAAGGGAUGUGGGAGGCGGGGGAGUAGGGGCGUGGGAGGGCAGAUUGAGGCCCCCAUGGUGAGGGAGGGAGUGGACGUGGGGGUACUGCCCAGCCAGGGUGGUGAACAGGACCCAGGGCUGGGGCAGGGAGCGGGAUAGAGCUGCGGGCAGCUUGUCCAAGGAGCGCAAGGGAGGGAGUGGGGAGGUGGGGGCGGCUCCCCGCUGCUGCAUGUACACCCGAAGGGAGGCAUGGGGGGCAUGUGCCCCCCAAGAUUUGUGCAUGGGACAGAUGUGGGCUGCUCACUGUGGGCUUGGGCUCUCCACCAUGCUGCCUUUCCCUCAGGAGCUUUGCGCUGGCUGCAUGCACCCUGCUCACCUGGCAGCAGUGUGGGGCAGUGAGUUGUGCCUCCUGUUGCUGGGAGGGCAGGGGACGCAUAGCUGCUGUGAGGCUCCCAAGGGAAGAGGCAGCAGAGCGGAGAGUCCUGAGCCUGCAGCGGGCUGCCUGCAUCUGCUCUUGCCCUGCUUGGCUUGACUUAAAAGUGUCCCCACGCUUAAAAAUGGUACCAGUACUGCUUGAACUAAAGCCCAUUUGAUGAGAUUUAGUUCAAGUGCUGCCGUUGCCAUUUUAAGUUCCAGGAUGCUGAUCCCCUGGAUGAACCACCUGCUACUCUGUUCCACUCCCCACCCCAACCCCAGGUCCUAUUCACCACUCUG